UGCUGGAGUAUGUAUGAUGUCAUUAGAAGAAUUGUAAAUUAAAUUAUAGUAGAUGCUCAAUUCAAUUUCUGACCUGUGUGGUUUCACUAUUAAGCUAGCUUGAAUAAGGGGAGUAGCUACAUACAUAAAUCUGUUGAGCUGUAAUUUGGGGUGGAUUUCUAGUUUCUAAAAUACAAAUUAGUUUGUCAACAUGAUUCAUCUCAUCGUCCGUUUAGUUGUGGGACUUGUUGUUGGUCUGUCUCGCUGCAUUUGCUUAGCAUGCAGUGACUGAUCAGUCUACUUUUGGAACAUUUUGACUCUUGCUAUUAACAGUAGAUUUAUUUUCUUAGUUUCAUUUUAGUUUUGCUUUGUACUUAAAAUAAUGUAAAAGUUUUAUUGCUAUUUUCAUAAUAACUAGAUACUAACUAA